GCCACAAGAGUCACGCUGUUACCCUUCCUGCCUCCUCCUCGCUCAUUUACUUUCCAGACACCACGGAGGGCAGGUGUGGCGGCCGCUGCUGGGAAUAUAGUGAAGGAUUAAUUAAAAAGGUGCUGUGUCGAGAGGCUUGACGGGGACGAGCCAGUGUUGCCAACUAGCCAGGAGUGAGAGCAACCUUUGAGAUCCCUGCCCAGCGUGGGGAAGGAAGGGAGGCACCAGUGUGAGGAGCGUUGGGAGGCUGCAGCUGGUGUAGUGGUGUGGUGAGCGAAGGAGCGUGUUGGAUUCAAGUGUGUCAUCAGUGGACUGUGCAGGUGUGUGGCGGUCAGUCUAGACCGGCGGAACGCUUGGAUCAGGCUGGUGUGUCCGUCUCUGCUUGGUGUGUGGCGUGGCAAGUGGUCACUGGCGGUGGAAGGCCUGAUGGGCACACUGCUUUGUGGGGACUUGUCACGCCAGGCAGCAGCAGAGUUGAUACACCCGCGUUCAGUGGUGCGCAGAAGCUUGUCCUUCCCGCCCGUUGCCGUCGCAGCGUUGAGUGCUCCGUAACAACGGUCUGCUGCUGAUGAUGUUCUACCGAGGCGAAACCUGGAAAGUAGAAAACAGAUUGGUCAGAAGGGUAUAUUAUAAGUAACCGGUUGAGUCCUAAAUCUUGCCUUCUGGAUGAAAGGAAAACUGUCCUAAUUAAAUUACAUAUCUGCAUAUAAAAAAAAAU